UACGGGGGGGGCAAGCGUUGUUCGGAAUUACUGGGCGUAAAGGGCUCGUAGGCGGCCAACUAAGUCAGGCGUGAAAUCCCUCGGCUUAACCGGGGAACUGCAUCUGAUACUGGAUGGCUUGAGUUCGGGAGAGGGAUGCGGAAUUCCAGGUGUAGCGGUGAAAUGCGUAGAUAUCUGGAGGAACACCGGUGGCGAAGGCGGCAUCCUGGACCGACACUGACGCUGAGGAGCGAAAGCCAGGGGAGCAAACGGG
rnacentral:rRNA from 1 species